rnacentral:rRNA from 1 species
CCUACGGGUGGCAGCAGUGGGGGAUAUUGCACAAUGGGGGGAACCCUGAUGCAGCGACGCCGCGUGGGUGAAGGAGUGCUUCGGCAUGUAAAGCCCUAUCGGCAGGGAAGAAGCAAGACGGUACCUGACUAAGAAGCCCCGGCUAAGUACGUGCCAGCAGCAGCGGUAAUACGUAGGGGGCGAGCGUUAUCCGGAUUCACUGGGUGUAAAGGGAGCGUAGACGGCCAUGCAAGCCAGGGGUGAAAGCCCGGGGCCCAACCCCGGGACUGCCCUUGGAACUGUGCGGCUAGAGUGCGGGAGGGGCAGGCGGAAUUCCUGGUGUAGCGGUGAAAUGCGUAGAUAUCAGGAGGAACACCGGCGGCGAAGGCGGCCUGCUGGACUGCGACUGACGUUGAGGCGCGAAAGCGUGGGGAGCGAACAGGAUUAGAUACCCGAGUAGUC